rnacentral:ncRNA from 23 species
UUUUGAAAAUCUUUCCGAGCCAUUGCAACCUAAAAAGAGGGGUUUUUCCCUCUUCAUGGUGCUUUGGCCGAUAGGGUGCAGGUUUGGGAAACCACUGCGCCUCCCGCUUUGGAAAGGAAAGAUUUAAAGGAUACU